CAAGUCGAGCGGCAGCGCGGGGGCAACCCUGGCGGCGAGCGGCGGACGGGUGAGUAAUACAUCGGAACGUGUCCUUUCGUGGGGGAUAACCAGUCGAAAGACUGGCUAAUACCGCAUGAGAUCUCACGAUGAAAGCGGGGGACCGCAAGGCCUCGCGCGAUUGGAGCGGCCGAUGUCGGAUUAGCUAGUUGGCGGGGUAAAAGCCCACCAAGGCGACGAUCCGUAGCUGGUUUGAGAGAACGACCAGCCACACUGGGACUGAGACACGGCCCAGACUCCUACGGGAGGCAGCAGUGGGGAAUUUUGGACAAUGGGGGCAACCCUGAUCCAGCCAUGCCGCGUGUGUGAAGAAGGCCUUCGGGUUGUAAAGCACUUUCGGCCGGAACGAAAUCGCGCGGGCUAUUACCCCGCGUGGAUGACGGUACCGGAAGAAGAAGCACCGGCUAACUACGUGCCAGCAGCCGCGGUAAUACGUAGGGUGCGAGCGUUAAUCGGAAUUACUGGGCGUAAAGGGUGCGCAGGCGGUUCUGCAAGUCAGGCGUGAAAGCCCCGGGCUUAACCUGGGAAUGGCGCUUGAAACUACGGGACUGGAGUAUGGCAGAGGGAGGUGGAAUUCCACGUGUAGCGGUGAAAUGCGUAGAGAUGUGGAGGAACACCGAUGGCGAAGGCAGCCUCCUGGGUCAAUACUGACGCUCAUGCACGAAAGCGUGGGGAGCAAACAGGAUUAGAUACCCUGGUAGUCCACGCCCUAAACGAUGAUGACUAGUUGUUGGAGGAGUUAAAUCCUUUAGUAACGCAGCUAACGCGCGAAGUCAUCCGCCUGGGGAGUACGGUCGC
rnacentral:rRNA from 1 species